UCUGAUCUCAGAUCAAGCAAGAAGACCCGCCGAAUUUAAGCAUAUAAUUAAGCGGAGGAAAAGAAACUAACCAGGAUUCCCCUAGUAAGGGCGACUGAAGCGGGAAUAGCUCACGAUGUGAAUCAGCGCUGCUUUGUGGCGCCGAAUUGUGGUCUGAAAACGUUUGCAUUACUGGCGGGGCCAAGUCCCUUGGAACAGGGCAGCCGAGAGGGUGAGACUCCCGUGUGCCCUGCCUUUGGAGCGAGCGUUUGACGAGUCGAGUUGUUUGGG
rnacentral:rRNA from 1 species